AGAAACUAAAAUAACUACUAGUUUAAACUACUCGUUUUUUUUUACGAUGCUUAUAAGUUUAUUAGUGUUAUGUGCUUUUUUAAAUUGCAACAAUGGCCAGAUAUGUUCGAAAAAGAUUACUGUGACCAAAUGGGUAGAAGAAGACACUACUUAUUCCGUUAAGGAGAAAAAGUGCCUUUUGAUUAUUUUGUGCAAGACCUCAACUAAAACGGACCAUGCCAGAAAGCCUGUGCUAAAAAAAGAGACUAUUGCUGUUCCAACAUGUUGCGACGGAUAUCGAAAUAUUG